rnacentral:rRNA from 1 species
AUGAACGCUGGCGGCGCGCCUAAUCCAUGCCAGUCGAGCGAACAGAUGAGGAGCUUGCUCCUCUGACGUUAGCGGCGGACGGGUGAGUAACACGUGGAUAACCUACCUAUAAGACUGGGAUAACUCCGGGAAACCGGAGCUAAUACCGGAUAAUAUAUUGAACCGCAUGGUUCAAUAGUGAAAGACGGUUUUGCUGUCACUUAUAGAUGGAUCCGCGCCGCAUUAGCUAGUUGGUAAGGUAACGGCUUACCAAGGCAACGAUGCGUAGCCGACCUGAGAGGGUGAUCGGCCACACUGGAACUGAGACACGGUCCAGACUCCUACGGGAGGCAGCAGUAGGGAAUCUUCCGCAAUGGGCGAAAGCCUGACGGAGCAACGCCGCGUGAGUGAUGAAGGUCUUCGGAUCGUAAAACUCUGUUAUUAGGGAAGAACAAAUGUGUAAGUAACUAUGCACGUCUUGACGGUACCUAAUCAGAAAGCCACGGCUAACUACGUG